rnacentral:rRNA from 1 species
UGCCAGCAGCCGCGGUAAGACGAAGGUGGCAACCGUUGUUCGGAAUCACUGGGCAUAAAGCGCACGUAGGCGGGGGUGCAAGUCGGGUGUGAAAUCCCUCGGCCCAACCGAGGAACUGCGCCCGAAACUGCAUUUCUUGAGGAUAGCAGGGGAGCGUGGAAUUCCUGGUGGAGCGGUGAAAUGCGUUGAUAUCAGGAGGAACACCGGCGGCGAAGGCGGCCACCUGGCUCGAUACUGACACUGAGGUGCGAAAGCGUGGGGAGCAAACAGGAUUAGAUA